CUGUGAGAAUGUGGAAAAUGUGAUCUUUUUGGAAGGAUUAGCCAAAGAAGAAAUGAUGAACCAGAAGUUUCGUGUACUAGAAUUUCUAUUGCUCAAAAACCUUCCUAAACUGACUAGAUUCUGCCAUGGAAAUUACUUUGAAUUCCCCUUGUUGACAAGUCUUAGUAUAGAAAGUUGUCCUACACUAAGAACAUUCGUCUCCGGUGCAAAAGGAAUCAACUCGGAGAUUCCCUCUGACUCUCUUCGAUCAAAAGGUGGCAUUCCCUUGCUUAGAUGAACUGACCAUCAUAGGUGUGGGAAACUGGAGAAAGAUAUGGCAGAAGCAGCCAACUAAUUGCCUGAGGAUUCAUUUUGCAAAUUACUAAUCUUCUG